UGGAAAGCCCAUUGGCCCACCAAUCCCCACAGCCGCCAGCCCGCACCUCUCCCUCCUCCGGUCCUCCCUUUCUCAGCCGCCACCCCCACGAACCCUAGUCGCGCCCUCCUGCAUCUGUCCACCUCCCCCUUCCUGAUCCGCCCCAAGCCCCUCCUCGUCUCCUUGUCACACCCACCUCAUCACCAGCGACGGCCGCGCCUAAACGCAUGAGCUAGCCAAGGAAAAGCGGGGUGGCGCGACGCCCUGGUCAUCGGCCGGCCAGGAGCCUGCGUAGAGGCGGUGGCGGAGACGACCCUAGAUGGUGCCCAGGCCAAGAUCUGGACAGGGCGCCUCAACCUCGCCUUCCUCUUCCACCUACUCACUGAUAGAGAGACAGCAGCAGCGGUGGGAGGAGCCUGGGCAUAGAGGAGAGAAGUGGACGAGGGGGGUGCAAAGCCAGGAGAUGUGGGUCGCCGGAUGAGCACAUCCACAUAGGGCUUGAUCCCGCCGCUGCCAGAGCAGAGUGGAGCACCACACGGGGCCCGAUGGGGUGGCCGGGAGCGCGUGACAUCCGGCUCCCAAGCAGCUCCCAAGCAGGGAAUGCAGCGGUGCUGGCCUCUCCUCUCCGCGCGCCUUUGUCCUGCGUCGUCACUACCGCCAUGGCCUUGCUCGCCAUUGACCUCCCCAAGUGCUUCUCUCCACAAAUGGUGCCGUCAUGUCCAUAUCAAAUCAAGCGCCAGGAAAGUACAACACGUGCACAUAACUUGUUUGAGGAAAUUCCAUCUGGAAGCAAUAUUUGAUCAUGACUUGUGUUCUUGAUGCUUCAUCUGCGGCUAGCUAACUACAACAACACAUAUGUAAAGGGAAACCAUCGUAAGAAACACAGGAAGACAUUGCAUUGUUGAAGGAGUCCAUUGGGGACUGGAGUCGAUGGCCUACGACAUGGGUAGACACGUGUGCUUCAUGAUUAUUGUUGAUUAACUCAGAGUAUAUGAAUGCUUUGAAGGAAUGAUAUGCAUAAUUCAGACUAAAUCUUGCUGGUGAUAGUGAGGAGUUUAUUUGGCUGUAGCACUUUGAUUCUUUCUCACUGUCAAAGUUUGUUCAGUACUUCUCUCAUAUUUUUUUGUUUGUUCCAGUGUGCUAUGUGCAUCUUGCUAGUGGCGGGAGUGGCAGCCAAGAUGAUGGGCGCGGGAGCAGCGCACGUGUGAGCAAUGACAAGUGUGUCUGCUGCCAACCUGUGAAGGUUGGCUCUGCCAAACCCUGCUCUUCCUCUCCGAGGCUCACAUUGCGCGAUGGCCAUUACCAUCUACGACUUCACAAUAGUGGUGAUAUGUCCAUAUUCAUGGAAUUUUGGGUGAUUGUAAGGUGUUGUGUUGCCAUUAAAUUAGAUUGAUUUAUUAAAACUGAAGGACGGUCGAUUUGCUGAUCAUGCACUGGUAGAAAAAUUUCAAAAACUGUAACAUACUUUGUAUGGUAUUAGAUUUACUUCUUCAGGAUGUUUUUGUGCCCUUCAUGGGUGAAUCUGUAACUGAUGGAACCCUUUCCAAUUUCUUAAUGCUACUGUACAAAUGUAGUCGAGUCAAGCUUUAGGUGUUUCAGAAUGAACACACAAGUUGCUUUCUUAGAUUCAUUUCAACCAAAAGAAUGGGUAAUAUGUUUUUCUGAAAACAUGGAUAUACUUCGUAUAAUUGGAUCUGUAGUUAUUGACAUAGUAUUUAUUUUAUACUAAUGAUUCAUACAGCUUGGAGGGGAAUUAGUAUCUAACAUCUUGGUAAAUGUAUGCUAGGGAUUUUGUGCUCAUGUGAAGUCAAUGCAAAGCCCGUAUUUUUUAUGAUGCACUAUGAUAAUACAAAGCAUUUCUGAAAAUUGUGUAAUUGUAGAUGCGGCAUCAUUGUAGAGAGCAGCCCCAGGCCGUAUUAAUUCAGAAGAAUAAAUUCUUCUACUUCUGUUUAUUGUGCUUUUAAAUAGUGCUCCCGUACAGGACGGCUGUGAGAAUGGGCUCUCUGAGGCUGCUGUAUUAUGUUCCUUGCUUUCUCCAUCUUCACCCCUUACGUCCUUGAUGAAAUAAUUUAUAUAUGCAAAUUAAGUGCCACACAUCAGUUGCAAGUGGUCAUGCAUCCUGCUUGUCAAUUUCUCCCAGAGAGCGAAUGUUUAAAAGUCCAGUGCUUAUGGCAGUUAUUAAUUAGUCAAGAUUCAGUUCUGAUGUAGAAUAUUCAGUUUAGUUGGUCUGCAUUUGUCCCAGAGAGUGAGUGUUCACAGGUGCAGUGCUUAUGUAAGUUCUUAUUUAGUCUAGAUUCUGUUCUGGUGCAGAAUGUCUAAUAACAUGCCACUUAAGUUGUUUCUACAAACUAAAAUUUGAAAUUUAGAAUUGAUCUAGCCAUAGUUUUUGAAGCAAGAAUACCAUGACUUCUUUAUAUCUUUUUUGAGCUGGAACACUCGGCUAUCGUGAUUUUUUUUGUAGACCUUCUUGACUGGACAAAAUGUAUGUUGUGGAGAAAUUAUAAAUCGCCUUACAAAUUGCUGAGAUGUUGUGCAAAAACUGAACAGGGAAGAGACCCAUGGUCCAGAGUAGUACAUGCAAAUGAAGGAUACCAGACUGGCCCAUGGAGCAUGAGAUCCCCACCUUACUUGUAUGGCCUCAGGCUGAGGAGACCCUUCUAAUUAAGACAACACCAUUAUUGUAAAUAGAGAUGCUAAUGAGAAUAACAAAGAUGCUAAGAGGCAACCUUUUGGGGAUAUAACAACAACAUGGCUUAUGAGUCCGAACAGAGCUUGAGUGGUGUCUUUUGGUUCUUGAAGCCCUGCACUUUCCUGGUGGAGUAGUGAUGACCCACAAGUAUAGGGGAUCUAUCGUAGUCCUUUCGAUAAGUAAGAGUGUCGAACCCAACUAGGAGCAGAAGGAAAUGACAAGCGGUUUUCAGUAAGGUAUUCUCUG